rnacentral:tRNA from 1 species
GUGUAUGUAGUAUAAUAAAUAUAGUAGGUUUAGGUCUUGCUGAUUGUGGUACAUU